AUACUUACCUGGCAUAGGGAUACCGUGAUCAUGCAAGCGGUUCCCCCAGGGUGAGGCUGCUCCAUUGCACUGCGGAGUGGAUGUCGGAUGACCCUUGUGAUUAUUUUUAUUUUUUAUAUGUUUCACCUCUACCGUGUGUGACUUGUACAUACACACU
rnacentral:snRNA from 9 species